CCCGCACAAGCGGAGGAACAUUGUGGUUUAAUUCGAUGAUACGCGAGGAACCUUACCUGGGCUUAAAUGUAGAGUGCAUUUUUUAGAGAUAGAAAUUCCCUUCGGGGCUUUCUGCAAGGUGCUGCAUGGUUGUCGUCAGCUCGUGCCGUGAGGUGUCGGGUUAAGUCCCAUAACGAGCGCAACCCUUAUCGUUAGUUGCCAUCUGGUAAUGCAGGGGACUCUAGCGAAACUGCCACCGUAAGGUGAGAGGAAGGUGGGGAUGACGUCAAAUCAGCACGGCCCUUAUGUCCAGGGCUACACACGUGUUACAAUGGUCGGUACAGAGGGCAGCUACCUGGUGACAGGAUGCUAAUCUCGAAAACCGGUCUCAGUUCGGAUCGAAGUCUGCAACUCGACUCCAUGAAGUCGGAAUCGCUAGUAAUCACGGAUCAGCAUGCCGCGGUGAAUACGUUCCCGGGCCUU
rnacentral:rRNA from 1 species